AAUCAACGCUGGCGGCGUGCCUAACACAUGCAAGUCGAGCGAGAAAGGGGCUUCGGCCCUGAGUAAAGCGGCGCACGGGUGAGUAACACGUGGGUAAUCUGCCCUCGAGUGGGGAAUAACGCCGGGAAACCGGUGCUAAUACCGCAUACGAUCACGAUGAUUUCGAAUGUGGUGAUGAAAGGAGCAAUUCGCUCUUGGAGGAGCUCGCGGCUGAUUAGCUAGUUGGUGAGGUAAUGGCUCACCAAGGCAACGAUCAGUAGCCGGUCUGAGAGGACGGUCGGCCACACUGGAACUGAGACACGGUCCAGACUCCUACGGGAGGCAGCAGUGGGGAAUUUUGGACAAUGGGCGAAAGCCUGAUCCAGCAAUGCCGCGUGCAGGAUGAAGGCCUUCGGGUUGUAAACUGCUUUUGUACGGAACGAAAAGGCUCUGGCUAAUACCUGGGGCACAUGACGGUACCGUAAGAAUAAGCACCGGCUAACUACGUGCCAGCC
rnacentral:rRNA from 1 species